rnacentral:rRNA from 1 species
GAUGAACGCUGGCGGCGUGCUUAAUACAUGCAAGUCGAACGAAGAAUUUUCUAAGCUUGCUUAGCAAAUUCUUAGUGGCGAACGGGUGAGUAAUACGUAAGCAACCUACCUAUAUGAAUGGGAUAACUAUUAGAAAUGAUAGCUAAUACCAUAUAGCUAAUAAGAGGGCAUCCUCUUAUUACUAAAGAUGCGUUUGCAUCGCUUAUAGAUGGGCUUACGGUGUAUUAGCUAGUUGGUGAGGUAACUGCUCACCAAGGCGAUGAUACAUAGCCGGCCUGAGAGGGUGAACGGCCACAUUGGGACUGAGACACGGCCCAG